rnacentral:misc_RNA from 1 species
AGCAGCCGCGGUAAUUCCAGCUCCAAUAGCGUAUAUUAAAGUUGUUGCAGUUAAAAAGCUCGUAGUUGAAUUUCGGGAUCAAAGGAUCGGUCAUGCCUUGGUAUGUACUGGUUUUAUUGGUUCUCACCUUCUAAAGAACCAUAAUGUCAUUCAUUUGAUGUUAUGGGGAAUUAGGACUGUUACCUUGGAAAAAUUAGAGUGUUUAAAGCAGGCUUACGCUUGAAUACAUUAGCAUGGAAUAAUGAAAUAGGACAUCAGAUUCUAUUUUGUUGGUUUCUAGGAUCGAUGUAAUGAUUAAUAGGGAUAGUUGGGGGCAUUAGUAUUCAAUUGUCAGAGGUGAAAUUCUUGGAUUUAUUGAAGACUAACUACUGCGAAAGCAUUUGCCAAGGAUGUUUUCAUUAAUCAAGAACGAAAGUUAGGGGAUCGAAGACGAUCAGAUACCGUCGUAGUCUUAA